rnacentral:misc_RNA from 1 species
GAAAUGCGAUAAGUAAUGUGAAUUGCAGAAUUCCGUGAAUCAUCGAAUCUUUGAACGCACAUUGCGCCCUCUGGUAUUCCGGGGGGCAUGCCUGUACGAGCGUCAUUGCGAACCCCUCAAGCACGGCUUGUGUGAUGGGCCCUCCCGCGUCUUGGUCGUCAAGACGGGCCCGAAAUGCAGUGGCGGCUUCGCGGUUAUCUGAUCAGCCAGAGCGUAUGGGGACUUUCUCUCUGUCACACGCCCGCGGCGCGGACCGACGCCUGUCGACCUUUAUUCAUCUUUUUCUCGGUUGACCUCGGAUCAGGUAGGGAUACCCGCUGAACUUAAGC